rnacentral:rRNA from 1 species
CCCUUAGAUGUUCUGGGCUGCACGCGCGCUACACUGAUGCACUCAACGAGUUUACGACCUUGCCCGAUAGGGUUGGGUAAUCUUUUUAAAAUGCAUCGUGAUGGGGAUAGAUUAUUGCAAUUAUUAAUCUUCAACGAGGAAUUCCUAGUAAGCGCGAGUCAUCAGCUCGUGCUGAUUACGUCCCUGCCCUUUGUACACACCGCCCGUCGCUCCUACCGAUUGAGUGCUCAGGUGAAUAAUUCGGACUGCAGCAAUGUUUGGAUCCCGAACGUUGCAGCGGAAAGUUUAGUGAACCUUAUCACUUAGAGGAAGGUGAAGUCGUAACA